AAGUCGUAACAAGGUUUCCGUAGGUGAACCUGCGGAAGGAUCAUUGUCGAACCUGACCGAACGGACGACCCGCGAACGCGUUUACGAAUCGGGGGCGGGGCGGUCCUCUGCGGCCGUCGCGCCCCUCGCGUCGGUGGGGAGCGUGCGUGCACGCCCCUCCCCGACGCUGCAAACAAAACCCCGGCGCAGACCGCGCCAAGGAAUCGUAAUGAGAUCGCUUGCCCCCGACCCCGGCCUCGGUGCGUCGGGGGCGAUGCAUUCUGUCGUAUUUACAACGACUCUCGGCAACGGAUAUCUCGGCUCUCGCAUCGAUGAAGAACGUAGCGAAAUGCGAUACUUGGUGUGAAUUGCAGGAUCCCGCGAACCACCGAGUCUUUGAACGCAAGUUGCGCCCGGAGCCAUCCGGCCGAGGGCACGUCUGCCUGGGCGUCACGCAUCGCUGCCCCCGCAAAACCCCAUCCUCUUUUCAGAAGAUGUGGUGUGUCGGGGCACAUAUUGGCCUCCCGCACGCACCGUCGUGCGGAUGGCUUAAAUUCGAGUCCUCGGCGCCUGUCGUCGUGACAACACGGUGGUUGAUUUAUCAUUCGCACCUGUCGCGACCCCAGCUGCGCAUUCAUGAGGCCUCUUUCAUGGUAGUUAUCAUCAAAACUUUAACUGACCGUAUGAGCGAAGGCCGUUCUGAAAAGAGCGGCCCCCCUCUCGACGCGACCCCAGGUCAGGCGGGACUACCCGCUGAGUUUAA
rnacentral:rRNA from 1 species